ensembl:snRNA U6 U6 spliceosomal RNA
AUGCCUUGGCAGCACAUAUACUAAAUUAGAACAAUACAGAGAAGAUUAGCAUGGCCCCUGUGCAAGGAUGAUAUGCAAAUUCAUGAAGCAUUCCAUACUUUU